AAACUCUUUUCUCUUCAAAUCCUAUAAAUCUUUCGCCUUUUAGUAAAUAUUUCCGUGUAAAGAAGCGUUAUAAGUAUAAGCUAAUUUUUCGAUGUCCUACUUUAUAGUGGGGUU
ensembl:snRNA U5 U5 spliceosomal RNA